GACGAACGCUGGCGGCGUGCUUAACACAUGCAAGUCGAACGGAAAGGCCCUGCUUUUGUGGGGUGCUCGAGUGGCGAACGGGUGAGUAACACGUGAGUAACCUGCCCUUGACUUUGGGAUAACUUCAGGAAACUGGGGCUAAUACCGGAUAGGAGCUCCGGCGGCAUGGUGGGGGUGGGAAAGUUUCGGCGGUUGGGGAUGGACUCGCGGCUUAUCAGCUUGUUGGUGGGGUAGUGGCUUACCAAGGCUUUGACGGGUAGCCGGCCUGAGAGGGUGACCGGCCACAUUGGGACUGAGAUACGGCCCAGACUCCUACGGGAGGCAGCAGUGGGGAAUAUUGCACAAUGGGCGGAAGCCUGAUGCAGCAACGCCGCGUGCGGGAUGACGGCCUUCGGGUUGUAAACCGCUUUCGCCUGUGACGAAGCGUGAGUGACGGUAAUGGGUAAAGAAGCACCGGCUAACUACGUG
rnacentral:rRNA from 1 species